GACGAACGCUGGCGGCGUGCUUAACACAUGCAAGUCGAACGAAGAGCGACGGAAGCUUGCUUCUAUCAAUCUUAGUGGCGAACGGGUGAGUAACGCGUAAUCAACCUGCCCUUCAGAGGGGGACAACAGUUGGAAACGACUGCUAAUACCGCAUACGAUCUAAUCUCGGCAUCGAGGAUGGAUGAAAGGUGGCCUCUACAUGUAAGCUAUCACUGAAGGAGGGGAUUGCGUCUGAUUAGCUAGUUGGAGGGGUAACGGCCCACCAAGGCGAUGAUCAGUAGCCGGUCUGAGAGGAUGAACGGCCACAUUGGGACUGAGACACGGCCCAGACUCCUACGGGAGGCAGCAGUGGGGAAUCUUCCGCAAUGGACGAAAGUCUGACGGAGCAACGCCGCGUGAGUGAUGACGGCCUUCGGGUUGUAAAGCUCUGUUAAUCGGGACGAAAGGCCUUCUUGCGAAUAGUGAGAAGGAUUGACG
rnacentral:rRNA from 1 species